ensembl:lncRNA
CACAGAUGUUGCUCGAGUCAGGAUAUCCUUUUGCCUUGUGCUUGAACGCUGGUGUGUUUUUUGACAUUUCAACAAUUUGUGAUGGAAACAAUGUGUUGUCAUGUCACGUUUUAUUUGCUGGUGUCAUUACUCUAAAUGAAUGUGUAAGUCUGUCUGAGUUCCCACUGAUUCUAUCCUUGGUUUGGUUCUGAAUUACCUCAUUUUAAGCACUGAUUUUUCUGUGGAUGCUCCGAUUUAUAUUACAAACUUCAAAGAAAGGCUUGAAGUUUGCUGCUACAGUGUGCUGCUGGACCUCAAAGAAACACUGUUGUCUCUGAGGAGAGAAGAAGUAGUGAAUGCAUGCUGAUAUCUCUCUGCCAGGUGUGUCUGCAGAACAUUUGGUUGGACCUGAGAUGGCCAGUCAGGGCCAAGCUGUUCAAGAUCUUAAACGAGAAAAAAUCAGAGGUCUAGACUCGUUUGGAAAGCAGGGCCGAAUGCACGCACCUGAAAUAUCUGACAUGAGGAAGGGCAGUACACUCGGUCCCACCACUCCUGAACUACAUGCAGGAAAGGAGGUCAAAAGCUGUGAUCCAACAGUCCUGUCAUCAAGUCUUGGACACACAACACCUACUGACCAAGGACAAAGUAAGCACCCUGCAAUACCCAAAAGAAAAGUGGCCCCAAAUCAUGAAGCCAUUUUGGGAGCUGGAGGUCCGAGAAGACAACUGCCUGUUGAUAAAGACAACAUCCAAAGUCUGGGUUCUUAUUCAUCUCAGAGUGCCCGAGACUAUGAUUCAUCCAAACGUGAAAGUCAGCGAGUGGAAAACUGUGGUUCCCCUAUUGAUUUGUCUGAUGUACUAGAAAACAGUCGCUUAGGUUCAGGAAUUCAAAAGGGUCAAAGUUCAGUGCCUCAGCCGCAUGUUGGUGAAGAACUCAGACAUCUUGGUAGCACCACGUCACAAAAAGAAAAAGACAAAACCUCUCGACUACCUUUUUCAGAAGCUGAGGAUGUAAGAAGACGUAUUUACGCUACUCCACUGGAUCAGAGAAUAAGAGAUUAUUUCUCUGCUGUGGCAGAUAGGCAGCGCGUCAAAGGACUUUUAGCUGAAAACGCAAAUGGAAUCAGAAUCCGUGGGACUGUUACGGUACAAGAUGGCAGAUAUAGUACUGCAAACCUUCCAGCAAAAGGAGGAAGGCGCUAUGGAGCAGUGAUCCCAGGUACUAGUGGAACCCUAAGUGUAGGCAUUGCCUCUAAUAGAGCAGAUGGACAGGAAGCUCCAGGCUUUAUUGGAGAUGGUCAGAGUGCUAAACAGAAUUCCCAAACUGAACAUGAUGUCAGAAAGCCAAAAGCCCUCCCUAUCCCAGGGCAGACUGGGAGGAAUGCCCAGACUCCAAGUUAUGCUGGUGGAGCGGGAAACUACAUGGGAGCAAGCCUGGGCGCUUUGGGUUAUGGAGCAGGGUUGGGACAGGGAGCGUAUCUAGGUGGAGCAGCUGGAAAACUUGGAGCUGCUGCUGCACUCGGGCAGGGUGGUUAUCCCCAAGGUGUUGCAGGAAAGUCGACUGGUUAUGGUGAUGGAGCAACAGGAUAUCUUGGUGCUGUGGCAGGGAACGGCUUGGGUUAUGGGAAUGGUGACGGCUAUGGAGCUGCCCUCAGUCCUGGAGGCUAUGCUGGACAGGUCCAGGGGGGCUAUGGAGCACUUGGGGCAGGCCUGGAAUCAACUGGUGGCAAAUAUGGAGGAGGAGCUCCUCAGGCUCCUUAUGGUAACGCCCCAGUGCUUCCUGCUGGACUGGAAGGUGAUGGCGGCUAUCCGUAUGCUGCACAGCAGCUUGGUCUUGGUGUUGAAGGUGCUAAAUCUGCCAAAUAUGGCCCUGGUGCAGGAUAUGGAGCUCAACAAGCAGGGUUCGGUGCACAGCUAGGGCCAGCUCAAGAUGCUUUGGGAGAGCAGACUGGCAAAUAUGAUCGAGUGAAUGCUGCCCUGGGUAACGGAUACAAAGGCUAA